rnacentral:rRNA from 1 species
UACGUAGGUGGCAAGCGUUGUCCGGAAUUAUUGGGCGUAAAGAGCUCGUAGGCGGCCUGUUGCGUCCGCUGUGAAAGCCCGGGGCUUAACCCCGGGUCGGCAGUGGAUACGGGCAGGCUAGAGGUAGGUAGGGGAGAAUGGAAUUCCCGGUGUAGCGGUGAAAUGCGCAGAUAUCGGGAGGAACACCGGUGGCGAAGGCGGUUCUCUGGGCCUUACCUGACGCUGAGGAGCGAAAGCGUGGGGAGCGAACAGG